CAGCAGUGGGGAAUAUUGCACAAUGGGCGCAAGCCUGAUGCAGCCAUGCCGCGUGUAUGAAGAAGGCCUUCGGGUUGUAAAGUACUUUCAGCAGUGAGGAAGGUGGGUAUGUUAAUAGCAUACUCAUUUGACGUUAGCUGCAGAAGAAGCACCGGCUAACUCCGUGCCAGCAGCCGCGGUAAUACGGAGGGUGCGAGCGUUAAUCGGAAUUACUGGGCGUAAAGCGCAUGCAGGUGGUUUGUUAAGUCAGAUGUGAAAGCCCGGGGCUCAACCUCGGAAUUGCAUUUGAAACUGGCAAACUAGAGUACUGUAGAGGGGGUAGAAUUUCAGGUGUAGCGGUGAAAUGCGUAGAGAUCUGAAGGAAUACCGGUGGCGAAGGCGGCCCCCUGGACAGAUACUGACACUCAGAUGCGAAAGCGUGGGGAGCAAACAGGAUUAGAUACCCUGGUAG
rnacentral:rRNA from 1 species